rnacentral:tRNA from 1 species
GCGGGGGUAGUUCAGCAGCAGAAUAUCUCGUUGCCAACGAGAAGGUCGCGGGUGCGAAUCCCGUCCCCCGCUCCC